GGUUUGCGUGAGGGAUGGCAGUGGCAUCCUUUUGCUGAAUGGCUAUAGCUUUUUUUGUGAAGGUUUCUUUAGCAAAAGAUAGAACGGACAGCCCGACCCGAA
rnacentral:sRNA from 1 species